GGAGGUGUACCCAAGUGGUUUAAGGGAACGGUCUUGAAAACCGUCAGGGGUGUAACAGCCUGCGUGGGUUCGAAUCCCACCACCUCCUCCA
rnacentral:tRNA from 12 species